UUACUGAGUUUACGCUCUACAACCCUUUGUGAACAUACCUAUAACUGUUGCUUCGGCGGGUAGGGUCUCCGUGACCCUCCCGGCCUCCCGCCCCCGGGCGGGUCGGCGCCCGCCGGAGGAUAACCAAACUCUGAUUUAACGACGUUUCUUCUGAGUGGUACAAGCAAAUAAUCAAAACUUUUAACAACGGAUCUCUUGGUUCUGGCAUCGAUGAAGAACGCAGCGAAAUGCGAUAAGUAAUGUGAAUUGCAGAAUUCAGUGAAUCAUCGAAUCUUUGAACGCACAUUGCGCCCGCCAGCAUUCUGGCGGGCAUGCCUGUUCGAGCGUCAUUUCAACCCUCAAGCUCUGCUUGGUGUUGGGGCCCUACAGCUGAUGUAGGCCCUCAAAGGUAGUGGCGGACCCUCCCGGAGCCUCCUUUGCGUAGUAACUUUACGUCUCGCACUGGGAUCCGGAGGGACUCUUGCCGUAAAACCCCCAAUUUUCCAAAGGUUGACCUCGGAUCAGGUAGGAAUACCCGCUGAACUUAAGCAUAUCAAUAAGCGGAGGAAAAGAAACCAACAGGGAUUGCCUCAGUAACGGCGAGUGAAGCGGCAACAGCUCAAAUUUGAAAUCUGGCCCUAGGCCCGAGUUGUAAUUUGCAGAGGAUGCUUUUGGUGCGGUGCCUUCCAAGUUCCCUAGAACGGGACGCCAGAGAGGGUGAGAGCCCCGUACAGUUGGACACCAAGCCUUUGUAAAGCUCCUUCGACGAGUCGAGUAGUUUGGGAAUGCUGCUCAAAAUGGGAGGUAUAUUUCUUCUAAAGCUAAAUACCGGCCAGAGACCGAUAGCGCACAAGUAGAGUGAUCGAAAGAUGAAAAGCACUUUGAAAAGAGGGKUAAACAGCACGUGAAAUUGUUAAAAGGGAAGCGCUUGUGACCAGACUUGCGUCCGGUGAAUCACCCAGCUCUCGCGGCUGGGGCACUUCGCCGGCUCAGGCCAGCAUCAGCUCGCUGUCGGGGACAAAAGCUUCAGGAACGUAGCUCUCUUCGGGGAGUGUUAUAGCCUGUUGCAUAAUACCCUUCGGCGGGCUGA
rnacentral:misc_RNA from 1 species